GGUGGUGCCAGAUAUCGCCGUCGGCGUUGAAAAUGCCUUGGCCGAGGAGGUCUUGUAGGUUGGCUAUAGCGUGGCCCUUUUGGUAAUUGGCGAAGCGGGUGACGGUGAUGUGCUCUACGACGGCGGGGUCGGCGGUGAAGAUGAAAGGGGCAACAGUGACGGUGCCGGUGGGGCUGGCGAUGAGGAGCUCGGUUACCCAGUCGAGCAAUCGGUGGUGGUUGUUGAAGAAGUGGGGGAGGUUUCCGAGGAUAGGGUAGGGCUUCAGGAUGGUGGUUGUGCUGUGGGCUGCUUUAGGGUUUCGGUGUAAGAAGAAUAAGAUGAUGGUGGAACCAGCAAUGGCGGAGAGAGUGAGAAG
rnacentral:misc_RNA from 1 species